rnacentral:rRNA from 1 species
GCGGGCUAUCAGCUUGUUGGUGGGGUAAUGGCUUACCAAGGCGAAGACGGCUAGGGGGCGUGAGAGCGCGACCCGCCACAAUGGAACUGAGACACGGUCCAUACUCCUACGGGAGGCAGCAGUGAGGAAUAUUGCGCAAUGGGGGCAACCCUGACGCAGCAACGCCGCGUGGACGAUGAAGGCCUUCGGGUUGUAAAGUCCUUUUCUGAAGGAAGAUAGUGACGGUACUUCAGGAAUAAGUCCCGGCUAACUACGUGCCAGCAGCCGCGUGUAAACGUAGGGGGCGAGCGUUAUCCGGAUUUACUGGGCGUUAAGCGCACGUAGGCGGCAUCGUAAGUUGGACGUGAAAGCUCCCGGCUCAACUGGGAGAGGUCGUUCAAAACUGUGGUGCUUGAGGUUGAUAGAGGAGAGUGGAAUUCCCGGUGUAGUGGUGGAAUGCGUAGAUAUCGGGAGGAACACCAGUGGCGAAGGCGGCUCUCUAGGUCACACCUGACGCUGAGGUGCGAAAGCGUGGGGAGCGAACGGGAUUAGAUACCCCGGUAGUCCACGCUGUAAACGAUGGAUACUAGGUGUGGGAGGUUAUUUACCCCUUCUGUGCCGUAGCUAACGCGUUAAGUAUCCCGCCUGGGGACUACGGCCGCAAGGUUAAAACUCAAAGGAAUUGACGGGGGCCCGCACAAGCAGCGGAGCGUGUGGUUUAAUUCGAUGAUACGCGAAGAACCUUACCUGGGCUUGACAUGGUGGUAGUAGUGAAGCGAAAGCGGAACGACCCUUCGGGGAGCCAUCACAGGUGCUGCAUGGCUGUCGUCAGCUCGUGUCGUGAGAUGUUGGGUUAAGUCCCGCAACGAGCGCAACCCUCGUCGCUAGUUAUAUGUGUCUAGUGAGACUGCCGGUAUCAAACCGGAGGAAGGUGGGGAUGACGUCAAGUCAGCAUGGUCUUUAUGUCCAGGGCUACACACACGCUACAAUGGCCGGUACAAUGGGUUGCCAUACCGCGAGGUGGAGCUAAUCCUCAAAGCCGGUCUCAGUUCGGAUUGCAGUCUGCAACUCGACUGCAUGAAGGUGGAGUUGCUAGUAACCGCGCGUCAGCAAUAGUGCGGUGAAUGCGUUCCCGGGCCUGUACACACCGCCCGUCACAUCAUGGGAGUCGGCAACACCUGAAGUCGGUGACCAAACCGAAAGGUAGGAACUGCCUAAGGUGGGCCGGUAACUGGGAUGAAGUC